GUGCUCACUUCGGCAGCACAUAUACUAAAAUUGGAAUGAUACAAAAAUUAGCAUGGUGCCUGCUCAAGGAUGACAAGCAAAUUCACGAAGCAUUCCAUAUUAAA